AAAUAGUAUUAGCAAAUAAAAUACCAGUUUUUUCAAAUUCGUUUUUAAAUAACGAGCCAACCUUUUGCAAAUUAUAAAUACGUUAAAAUAAUAUUAGCGGUUUAAAACUAAUGGCGGAAUUAGAUAAAUUAUAUUCAAAUACAAAAUUGUUAAAUAAAAAAGUUUUAAAUUAUUAAAUUUAUAUUGGCCUGCAAUAAUAAGUAUAUUUACUUUCGGUAUAACGGCCAAACGGCGGACCAAUACUAUAAUUAUUAAUAAGCCUUUCGUAAUAUUAAUUAAUUAAUAGAACGUUAUUAUAUGGGUAUAAAAAUAAAACAUUUUAUUUUUUAUAAAAUUGUUUAAAAGUGAGCUUUUAAACGUCCUUCCGUCUUAUAUACGCGAUUGGGUAGGUUAAUUACGUGUAAUUAACCUACGCGGCAAUAUUUGUAAAUUAUCGUUUUAUUGUUAGUUUAACCGCAAUUCCUUUUAUUCCCACAUGGGUUUUUUCUUUCUUCGCGGUUAAUAACCUCGAAUCCAAUCGCUAUGAUAAUUUUAAACCCGAAAAAAACGGAAUAAUUAUGCGGUUUAUAAUAUAUUUUUUCAACGCGGUUUUGGUGUUUAUUUAUUAUGUUUUUUUUUUAAACCGAUUAUAAAUUUUUAUUAUCGUCGUUAUUAACCCAAAACACUUUUUUCAAGAAUAAUAGCUUUAAAUAAUUUCGUUUAAUAUUUUUACUGUUUAUUUAGUUUAUUAUUCGAUUCCAACCAUUUGCUUUCAAUUAAUUGCAAAUUCUUAUUAAUAUUUUUCGUUAAUAAAAGGGUGUUUCCUUCGUUAUAAAAUUAGUACGAGAUAAUUGUUAUUUUUUAAGGUUUCUUUUCAGUAUUUUUCAAAUCGUUUUUUACAAUUACUUUUUUAACAGUUUUGUUAUUUAUUUGUUAUUUUGUCUGCCCUUUAUACCAUUCGACCCGGUUUUAAUUUAAUUUUCGAUAUUAUAUUUCUCGCUCCCGGCGUUAUAGAUAAAGGUAAAUUUUUAUUUCAAUUUCACUGUUAUUAUUUAAAUUGUUAAUCCUUGUUUUUUAAUUUUGCCUUUUAUUUUUUUCGGGUUGUUUUAAUUUUUAUUUCGUCGGUUAAUAAAUCUAAUUAAAACUUCUUGGAGUUUAUUAUAAUAUUGGUCCGCCGAUUGGCCGUUAUACCAAACGAAAAUAAGGUUAUUUUUACAAACUAAUGCAAAUUUAGCAAUUUAAAACUUUGUUUUUUAUUUGGCCAUUUUGGUGUUUUGAUACAAUUUAAUUGAUUCUAUUGUUAUUUUUAAACCGGUAGUAUUAUUUUCACGUAAUUAUAGCUGUAAAAAGGCCGGUUUAUUAUUUAAAAGCAAAUUUAAAAUGGUUGGUAUUAUAUCCGUUAAUACCAUUUUUAAAAACGUAAAACCGAAACACCUCCCACCAAAAUUCCCAUUACGUUUUUUAUUGUAAACUCGUUUAAACGUUAUUAACGAAUUAAAAUGCAUUUAUAAACGUUAUUUAAAAUUUCGAUUAGUGGCGAAUAAUUAUUAAAAAUAAAUUAAUAAUCUUUUUUAUAAAAGUAUUUUUGCCGCAUACGACAAUUUUAAAUUGUUAAUUUUAAAGAAAUGUUAUUUUAUUGGCCAUAUAAUUAUAAUUCGUUAAUUUAACGGUAAAUAGGUUAAGACAAAUUUUAUAACCCGAAAAUUAUAUUCCGUACAAGCAAAAAAAGGAAGAAUUGUGUAAAAGAUUACACGAAAGGAGGAAAAAAUUAUUAAUAACCCCAACGUUUAAUUUGAUAAAUAGCGUUAAAAUUUUAUAACGUCGCUUUUGUUUUUUUGUUAUUUCUGGUAAGAAUAUUGCGGUGUUUUUCGGUGUUUUCCAACGAGGCGUUUUCGUUUUGCGGCGCGGUUUUUUAAUUGUAAACGGCGUGUUCGUCGUCUUACCGUUUCUAAUUAAUUUAAUCUAUUUUUCAUUUUUUCGCUUUUUUUCCAAAUUUUCUAAUUUUUUAACCAAAUUAUUAAUCCGUUUUAACGUCGAAUUGGUACAAAUAAAUUUGACUAAAACCUAAUUAGGCGUUUUUUUCGCUAUAAAAUCUACUAGGUUUAUUUAUUUAUAUAAUUUAUUUUAUUUUUUCAAUUUCGCCAUUUUUGUACAAUUAUAUUAAAUUUGAAAGAUUAAUUAUAAACUGUUUCUCAUUUUUAUCCCCAGUUAUAUUAAAUAUUAAUAUAAUAAUAAAUUAUACGUGUAAAAUAUUAUAAAUAUAAAAGGUAAAUUUAACUUUUUUAAAAUAGUUAUAAUAAUGGUUUUUAAUACGAAUUUAAUAUUAAAUCCACUAAUUAUAUUACAAAUUUCGCUUAUUAACAUGUUUUUAGAAAUUUCGCGGUAUUUGGUCGAUAAUAAAUAUAUAAUAUUAUUGGUUAUUUAAAAAUAGGUUACCCGCUCCACGGAAUAUUUAUUUCCGUAAAAUGUUACGUACCCGAUUUGGGAAUUGGAAUUUUUAUUAUUGGUUAAAACCCCGUUAAUAACCACGUAAAAUUUCGCCGUUUUAAAAUCGAUUUAAAUUUUGAAAAAUCCGUUUUAUACGCUUUAUUACUACCAAUUAAUUCGUUUAUUUAUUAAAAUAUAAUUUUCGUUAUCGGGUUUCGUUAUUUAUACGGCGGUGGUAUAAUCGAAUGUAAUUUCUGGUUAACAAUUUAAUAUAACGUACGUUUUCUGGGGUCGUUAAACGAUAUAUUUAUAUUUUAUUCCUGGUUAAUUUAUUAUUAAAAAUCGCAAUUUGUCGAAUUGUUCUUUUUAGAGUAUAUUUAAAUUUCUUUUAUAUAUUGUUAAUUAAAUAACUUUUAAAAUUUUGCUCGUUUUUUGGUUAUAUAUGUGAAAGUUAUAAGGUUAAAAGGAAGGGGUUUUGAAAGUUAAAACUAUUAAUACCAGGAUAAAUAACGUGGUAAACGUGGUUAUAUACUAAUUUCUUUUUAUUAUAAAAUUAAUAAUUUUGGAAAUUAUUUAUUAUAGUAAUUUGUCUUGCUUUCAUAUAUUAUAAAUAGAUUUAUUUUUAACACGUUGUUAUUUUAUUUAUUGUUAAUUAUUUAUCCGCAUUAUAUUUAUUUAUACGUAUUAUUUAUGCGUAUUAUAUAUAUAUAAUAAUGAUAUUAAUUUGUGUGAAAAAUAUAUAAUUAAUGUAAUAAUAUUUAUAAUAAACGCGUAAUAUAUAAAUGUAUUCUAGUUUAGUUUACAUAAUUUUUUUAUAAGAAGUUAUAUGCUUGUAAACUUACAAUUUUAAUUUUAAUAUAUUUCGGUUAACGUUAUAAUUUGCUUUUUAUAUCGCUUUUUUUUAACGUUUUAUUCGAAAAUUGUUAAACUUUUGGGAAACCGUGUUUAAUUGUUUUUCGGUUACAAACAUUAUUAUUAUAUUUUUCAUUUUCGUAAAAUAUAAUUCCGGGUCGCCUAGUUUUAAUCCUGAAAAAAAACUAUAAUUAUUCCCAUUUAUAUAAAAUUAAUAUUUUUAUAUUGUUAAUUUUUACAAAUUUGUUAUUGGUGUUAUUUAAAUAUAUAACACAUUUAUUUAUAUUUUUAAUAUAUAAAAAAUGGUGUUCGAAUUGGUAUUAUAUAAAAUAUUAUAAUACCAAUUUUUAUAUUUAAAAUAAUUUUUCUUAUAACGGUAAUCCUUAUACUUGUUUAAAACGUAUUUUAAUUUAAUUCGGAUUUAAUUUAUCAACUUGGAUUUUUAGUUUUUUACGUUAUAAUAUUUCCAUUUGGCCAAUACCGGCCGCUAAUAUUAUUGCAACGUUAAUAUUUGGUAUAAUUUUAUAUUAAAUAUUGUUUAAAUUAUAUUAAUAUAAAAUUUGUCGCGGAGAACUUUUUGACAGUUUUUAAUUUUUGAAAAACUUUAUUCGGUUUUGGUUUGAUUUAUAACGGAAUGUUUCGUUUAUCAAAAGUCCCGCUAUUUUAAGUUUUUCAAAUUAAAUUAACGUAUAUUUGCCUAAAUCGUUUUCGUUCCCUUUUUUAUUAUUUAAUUCGUCGUUCGAUUUUGUUUUGUUUUUAUUAUUUCCUUUAUUUUUAUUAUUAUCCAAAACAUAUUUGUUACCGCGUUGGUUUUUCUUUUGGUAUUUCCCAGCUUGCAUCCUUUAUUUUCGCCACCGUUAUUUUUUUAUAUAUAUUUUAAAGGUUUGCUCCCCGGUUUAUAAUAUAAAUAAUACCCCAAGUUUCUCGUAAUAUUCCAAAAUCGUUUAUUUAAUCCUCGGUACUAAUAACGGUUAUCAUAUUAUUUUUUUCAACCUUUAUAUUAUUUAUAUUUUCGGUUAACGAAAAAUAUAUUUUAUACCACGUAUUGUUCUUCCACCUCCAAAGUGGUUAUUAUACAGUUAAAUAAUACCGUAAAUUUUAUUAAAAGGUAAAUAAUAACGGUUUAAAAUCUUUUAACACUUUUAAUAAUUUUGAAAUCGUUAUAAUUAAUUAUUCUUUUUAUAUUUAUACCCGUUUUGGUAAGUUUAUUUACAUAUAGCUUUUUGCACAAAGGUUGUUUGAAAUAAACUCGAUAUUUUUAUAUACCACGCGGUUAUUAUAAAUACUAUUGUAUUAAUUUUAUAUAUUUAACACGAAUAAAUAUUAUUAUACGCAUAUAAAAUGCGUUUAAAUAAUAUAUAUAUAAGUAAAUAUAAUGCGGAUGGACAAUUUACAAAAAAUAAGAUAAGAACGCGUUAAAAAUCAAUGUACAUACAAUAUAUAAAAACCGAUAUAAAUUACCAAAGUAAAUAGCUUUCUUUAAAAAAAAUCUUCGAUUUAAUUUAUAUAAUUAUCGAGUUUUAUAACCAAAUACAAAAAUUAUUAUGCAACCACGUUUACCACGUUAUUUAUCGUUUUGUUAACAAUAUUUUCUUUAAAAAUUCCUUCACUUAACCUUAUAACGUUUACAUUUUUAAUAUUUUGUAAUAUAUUUGCAAUUUUCUUGAAAUAAUUUGUAUAACGUUUAAAUUGCGUUUUUUUCUUAAAUGCGGUCCGUUUAAACGUUUUUAAAAAUAACGGAAAUCCAUUUUUUCGAAUGUAUUUAGCGUAUAAAUUAUAUUUUAAACCGUUUCUUAAAUUUUAUAUAUAUUUUUCAAAACGUUAUUUGUUUAUCCAGUUUUUUUUGAAAAAUAUAUUCCCGCGAUUUUCAUAAAUGUGAAAAGAAAUAGCGUUUAUAUCUGAAAUAACGGGAUUUGUAAUACACUGCAAGUGGUUAUAAGUUUUUUAAUUUUAUUAUCCAAAAUAUUUUAUAAUCUUUUUAAAUAAGCGUUUAAUUUAACCCACGCGUUUUAAAAAAGUUUUAUCGGGUGUUAAUCGAUUAGCUCGUUCGGUAUUUGUAAUGGCGGAAUAUACUUGUAAAUAUUAAUUAUUUCUCCUCGUUAUUUCGUUAUAUUUCAUAUUAUUUAUUUUAAAAUAAUGCUAUUUUAUCAUUUUAUUUUUUAAGUUGUUAAAACGUUAUUCCCGUAUAAAUUUUAUUUUUAUUCGAACUCCGUGGAACACCUAAUUCUUUAAUUUGUGGAAGGGGUAAUUUCAACUACCUUCUUUCUUAUAAAUAAAUUGGGUUCUUUUUCUUAAUUCUUUUUUAAAAUCACGUUUUUUUUCGAUUUUUAAUUUUUAAUUUCGUGUUAAAACGUUUUAAUUACCGGGUUACAAACUUACAUUUAUUAGAAUUAUAAUUAUCUUAUAUAUCGGUUACGUUAUAUUAGCAAAAUAUUAUUGGUUUUUUUUUCGUUUAAUUUACCUGGUAAAAUAAUAUUAUAACUUUCCAAAUAUAUUAUUUGAAUUUAUUAAAUUAACGUAUUAUUUAAAGAAAAAUAAUUUUCGUUCCAUUUUUCCAAAUCUCUUUGGUAUAUAAUUAAUAACGUUUUUCCGCGUUUGUUUUUUUAAAAUCGAUUAAAAACCUUAAAAGUCCAUAUUUGUUUCCAAAUUAUUAAAACCUUUUCUGGGUUUUUUGGGAAUUUAUAAAAAAGGUAAUGCAAAACCUCUGCGUCGCUUCGUUCCUUUAAUAAUAAAAGUAAUUUUAAUUAUAAUAAUUUGUUAUUAUGGGGAGUUUGUACCCUAUUAUAACGCUCGUUAUUAACCUGCGAACCGGGUUUUACGUUUAUUUUAUCAUUUAUUAAUUUAUAAAAUAAUUUGUUUAAAUGGUAAAAUCCAAAACCUUUGAUGUACUUGUAAAAUAGCGUUUAUUAUUUGCUUUUUUUUAUUACCGGGAGAUGAUUUUAUCAGGUUACCCUGCACCACGAAUAAAGUAAAUAAAUAAAUAAACAAAUAAAUAAGUAAAUAAAACGCAUAUAUAUACAAAACUUUAAACAUUAUAUUUUUAAUAAUAUAUAAUGAAAUAAAAUAAAUUAGUAUUAUGGUUUAUUAAUAUACUUUAUAUAGUGACAGAUAUAACAAAUAUAUAAAAUGCACGGGUUUUAUUCCCAUUAUUGCCGCAUUUUUUCACACGUGUAAUUAAUAAUCCAAAUAAACGGCUUUAACCAGGCCUGCGUGGCCGGAAUUAGUUACGUGGUUUCAUCCCGCAUUUCCGGCAGUCCGGAUCAUUAAUAUAUAACCACAAAAUUAAAUAUAAUAAUAAUAAUAAUAAUAAUAAUAAUAAUAAUAAUAAUAAUAAUAAUAAUAAUAAUAAUAAUAAUAAUAAUAAUAAUAAUAAUAAUAAUAAUAAUAACAAAAUCAACGAAUUAAUUAUGCAGUUAAUAAAAUCUCUACCAUCCGUUAACAAACGCUUAUUUACCAUUUUUACGGUUUGAUUUAACCCUACAAGUAAUUUCCAAAUUUAAAAAUUCAAAAUUAACUCGUAAACUUUUUAAAAGUUAUUUACCCGGAAUAAUUUACACCAAUACUUUAAAAAGAAACGAGGAAUUAUAAUUUUAUCCAUUAAUUAUUCCACGAUUUUAUUUCGGAUCGACCCGAACCUUAUACCAACGUAUAACCCUAUUCGAAAUUUAUAUAAUAGUGUAAUUACCUAUUUAAUAUUAUUUCGUCGCAUUUGGUAAGAGCCAUUUUUAAUUUUCACCACCUGUAUUAUUUUAUUUUUACCCAUCGAUUAUACCUUCGCUUUACGUAAUACCAAUACAAACUUUCUAUUAUUCGAUAACCCCUUUUAAAACCUAUCUAACAAUAUUAUUUAUUUAAUUGUAAACCCAAUCGUUACCGAAAUAAGCGAGGAAUAAAUAUAAAAUGGCCUUUUUAACAAACUGUUUACAGUUUAAUUUAUCGGUACCGAAAACUACCCCAUCUGGGUUAUCCGUACCAGAGCCGCCCCGGAAUAUAAAAGCCUGGGAGGUAUAAUUGCAGCAAAUAAUAAUACUAAUAAUAAUACCAAUAAUAACGGUAUUAUAUUUGAAACCCAUUAAAAUUGGCAAUUAUAACCGUUUCCAAAUAACUAAUAUUAAAAAUAUCCAAACUUUGGUUAUAAUAAAAAUAUUAUAUAAAAACCGGCCCUUUUUACAUAUUAAAAAUUGUAUAUAAAACUUGGGAUAAAUUAAAAAAUAUUAUAUAAUCCAACGGGUUUUAUUUUAAAUUACCUUUUAUUAAAGGAAUUUUCUACGGUUACGCCUAAAGUAUUCGAUAAUAUGAAAAAGUAUUUAAAUAAAAUAAAAGAAAAUAUACCAAUUGAAAAUCCAAAAGUUUAAUAACCGAAAAUAAGGUUAUAAUAGCCUGGGUUUUAAAUAAUUGGGAUAAUAAGUGGGUUUUUUUUACCCAAAACGAAGUCCAAACCCUAUAUAAUAAUCCAAAUAAAUAUAUAAAAGAUGGUUUAUUUGCUAAUUUAUUGGAUAAAUACCGGGGAUAGGAAAAUAAAACAACUUUGGCUAUACGUAACCAAAAUAAAAACAAAAAUAAAAAUAAGGCCAAAUUUACUAAUAUAAUUAAAUUCCCAAAUUGGGGAGAAAAUAUUAAUAAAUAACCAAUUAUAACGUUGGACGACCUUAUUAUAACAUUUGGACCAUGAGAUUACCAAACCCUAACCCUGACCCUGGACCAACGACCCACCAAAAUAAUAUUUUUAUCGACGUCGCGUUAAAUUUAAAAUUUUAUUUAUUUCUUUUCCUUUCCUCAAAAUAAAAUCUUCGUCAAUAGGCGCCAAUAAAUUAGUUUCCGUCCUAUAUUUAUUUUGGCCGUAAUACAAUUUUAUUUUUAAAAAAAUCGCUGGCCUAACGAUUAAUAAAUAAGGCGUAACAAUUUAUUUUUACGCCGUUAGCGAACGACGAAAAUAAAUCCGCAUCCGACAAACCCGAUUCGACCGGAAUUCGACAGGAACGUUAAUUCCAAUCCCCGACUACGACCGAUCCGACCUAUGCCCAGGUUAAAAAACCAUUUAUUUACGAAUAGGAAAUUAUAAAAAUUAAUUACGAAUUAAACGGAAUAAAUAAACCGCCCCAUUAAUAACCCGACCCAAUUAAAAAACGAAAUAAAUUUUCGCCCAAAUACCAAAUCCAAUAUCGAAAACGAAAUCGAAAUUGUAUUUUUUCGCGGUCCCCGGAAUUUAACGUAAAUAUAUAAAAAAAUAACCCCAAAAUAAUGGGCGACGCAAAUAACCCAACCAGCGAAAUUAUUAGGUUAAAAACGGAAAUAUUUAGGUUAAAAAACGCGUUAAAAAAUAAUAUAUCCAAUUCCAGGCCCUACCGAAAAUUAAAACACCGAAAAUUAUUAAUGGAAAAUAUAUUCGGCGGAACGAAUUUUAAAAUAAAAAAAAUGGCCGUUUGGCCAACUUUUACCGAAUUCCAAAAAAUAGGCGGUAUAAACCCUAUUUAUAAUAAUAAAACAAAAACCAAAGCCGAUUUACCCCCAAAAUUCGCAAAAAAUAAAACGCAAUUUAAUAAUUGGUUAAUAAAAAUGGCCGACAAAUUCGAAAAAAAUAUCGCCAUUUUUAAAACUGAAAAAAAUCGGAUGCGUUAUUUAAUAAAUUUGUUCGAGGACAAAACCGAAAAAAUAAUAAUUAUUCGUUAUAUUUUAAUUAUACGCGUUUUUUAAUUAACAGCCGAAAUAAUCCAAAUUUUAAAAUUUAUAUAUUACGACCCCAACCAGUUUAUAAUUGUUAAAAAAACCUUUAAAAAAUAUAAAUUUAAAUUAAAUAAGGGCCAAAAUAUCCACGAAUUUAUUAUUACGUUUAAUUUAUUAGCCCAAUAAAUAAAAGUUCGGGAAAAAGAUUGGAAGCAAAUUUUGUAGGGAUAUAUAUCCGCCGACCUUAAUUACCGUUUAUUAUAUAAUAAUAAAAAUAUCGAUAUAAAUUACGAAACGUUUUGCUAAUACGUUACCAAAACCGUUUAUAAUAACCAAUUGGUAUAAAAAAAACGCAAAAACCGAAAAAGUACCGAUAAAACCAAUACGAAAAACGAGACCCGGAACAGGUAAAAAAUAAUUUCGACGAAAAUCCGUUCGCGUUACAAACCCAAAGAUUAUUAAAAGGAUAGAACGGAACCAAUUAUAAUGGUUAAAACCGGUCGUUCACUAAUUUAUAAAAAGAAAAAAACGCAUUAGGAUGCCAAUAUUUAUUUUAUAUAUGGAAAAGGUGGUUAUAAUUCCAAAGAUUGUCCCGAAAAAGAGAAAAUAAAGGAUAUUAAAAUAAUAAAACCGAAAUAAUAAACAAAUAUUUUAAAUUCGGAAACCAUAAACGAAUUGGGAAAAAAAUAAGACCGCCGCAAACCUUCUCGGUGGUCCAAAUAUUUAUAAUAAUUUAAAUUGGUAAUAACCCACGAUUUAAAUUUUUUAUUAUUCGAAUUUAAAUAUAAAUUAAUGGUAUAAUAUUAUUAAUUAAAGUUUUUUAUACUACCGGAGCAAAUAUUUCUUUUUUAAUUAAUUUAAUAAUCGUUAAAUAAACCGCAAAACGGCUAAAAGCCCGGUUUUAAAAGUUAAAAACCCCGCUAUUUUUAUCGAAUUACCGCAAAUAGGACGCAGGACGUAUUACGCACAAAUUAAAAACGAUUUUGGAAAUUAAUAAACGCCGGUUUAAUAACCAAAUAUUUUACGUAACGGAAAAUGGAUAUAAUAUAUUUAUUGGGCAAAAUUAAUUAAUUAAAUAAAAUAUUUGGAUUUACCCGAAAACGCAAACGUUCGUAUAAUUUAAAACGACACCGUCGUUGGUAAAAUUUUCGCCAAUUAUUAAAUUUCCGAAUAUAUUAAAUAAACCCGAUCCGGUUAUAUAAACCGAUAU
rnacentral:sRNA from 1 species